rnacentral:rRNA from 1 species
UACAGAGGUCUCAAGCGUUGUUCGGAAUCACUGGGCGUAAAGGGUGCGUAGGCGGCGGAGUAAGUCGGGUGUGAAAUUUGAAGGCUCAACCUUCAACUAGCACCUGAUACUGCUUUGCUUGAGGUCUGAAGAGGAGCUUGGAAUUCUCGGUGUAGCAGUGAAAUGCGUAGAUUUCGAGAAGAACGCUCGCAGCGAAAGCGAAGCUCUGGUCAGAUUCUGGACGCUGAGGCACGAAGGCUAGGGGAGCAAACGGG